rnacentral:lncRNA from 1 species
UUCUGUGUCAGAUACUGUAAGAUUACAACUAAGUUGAAAGGAUGGCAGAUGACACUAUACUACCUGUUACUCAAAAGGUCUCUAGAUUUAGACCCUGUCAGCCCUGGCUCCACUACACCACUGGCAAGCACAAAGGUGACAGUCAAGCCACCACAACCACAAGUCCAGAAACAAGAGGAGAGGAAAGCUCAAUGAGAAUCUUCUAGAAAACCAGCAGUCUUCGGCUCACACGGGCUUCAUUAUUCUUUUCCAAUGGCUGCCACUAAGGAGAGCCAUCGAGGUGUGUGGGGAAUGUUCACCUGUGGCAGUCCCACCGCGUUAUGCCACAUCUGAGCCAACCUAGGCAGGGAGGCAGUUCUGGGGCAGCUUGAAGGGUGCACUGAGGCUUGCAGAAUGCGACCUGUAUUCAACGGGGAAUAAAACCUAGAAAAAAACCA